rnacentral:tRNA from 1 species
UACUGCGAAUCGGGAAUCGAACCCUGGCCGCCCGCGUGGCAGGCGAGCAUUCUACCACUGAACCACCGAUGC